GUUCUCUUAAACAACAGUUUCUUUUUACCAAGUAUAAAAUAUUCUGGAAUGACAGAUACACACAGAAGCACCACAGGUGGAUUCUAGGGAGGAAAUGACCUUGGAAGGAUGCAGGAAGGGAGGGCAAGUGAGCUUGGGUCCGAUUAGGAGGCAGGAGCCCUGAGAGGCUGCAGGGACGCCCAGCCUGCCCUGGGUGCUGUGCCCUGUUCAAGAUGUGCUGUUUUACCUGAUGAGGCGGCCUGGGGCUAGAAAGCUGUUUUUCCUGCUCCUCCCUGCACCUGCUGAUGGUCACACUUUGUCUUCCUAGAUUCCACCGAGGACCCAAUGGAGGAACACCUCAGGGAGAAGAAAAAGGAGGCCCCAUGGAAACUGAAGGUCAAACCCCUGCAUUUGUCUGAGGAAUACAGUUGCUUUCCUAGCUUUAUCUUUCUGAAUGAGCCUACGAGAUGAGAAUCUGACCGUAUGUAUUAUAGACGACUUACACUGUGUCCUUGGUCGGGUGAAUUCUGAGUAAGAGCCUGUUCCCCAGUGAGGCUUGCUUUUGAAUAGCAGGAUAAAAUGACAGCGUCAGCCACGCACUGCGUGGAGUGAGCUUUUUCCUUAGCAGCUUGAUUCUCUCCUUGGAACAAAAUUACUUAAUUGCCAAGCCACAUGGACUUGGAGGAAACAUAAUUCAAGGAAAUUGUGUCUGUAGCGUGAGGCGGUUUGUCCUGUUCUUUUGUGUUCCUUAGACUUUAACACAGUUUUUCAUCUGGUUUUCUAAUGUCACCAAGUGAAGAAAAGACCUGCGCACACAGGACACAGCACAGCCUGAUGCUCACAGCAAUAUGUUUUCUGUUAUUACAGGAAGUUUCAGGAGUCAAGGAGAACGGUGUAUGUGGGGCAGUCCCUCCCGUGUGGACGAAGAAUCCAGGUGAUGAGGAAUGUGCCGCUGUGUCGCUGGCUUUCCUGCACACAGGCAGCCGGAGUGGAGCUUCCUGUUGUGAUGAGGACCCGGGCUGUGGCGGGAGAAGUGGUUGCUCCAGGGAGGGUGGCCCAGCAGCAGCUCGGUUUGUGCUCUCACCCACCUCCUCCACACAUGCCAGCCCUGUUCCUCAGCACCCAAGGCUGCCAGAGGUCCUUCAGCAGCUCCCAUGGCUGCCAGUGACUCUAUGUUUCCUAGCGACGGUGGCCAGUGAGAUGUUUCCAGAAAUGACCCUAGCUCUUUGCCAGGUAAAGUCUUCUUUCUUUGUCUAA
rnacentral:lncRNA from 10 species